AUACGGAGGGGGCUAGCGUUGUUCGGAAUUACUGGGCGUAAAGCGUACGCAGGCUGACCAUUAAGUUAGAGGUGAAAUCCCAGGGCUCAACCCUGGAACUGCCUUUAAAACUGCUGGUCUGGAGUUAUGGAGAGGUAAGUGGAAUUCCUAGUGUAGAGGUGAAAUUCGUAGAUAUUAGGAGGAACACCAGAGGCGAAGGCGGCUUACUGGACAUAUACUGACGCUGAGGUACGAAAGUGUGGGGAGCAAACGGGAUUAGAAACCCCAGUAGUCC
rnacentral:rRNA from 1 species